CAGCCGCCACGGUAAGACAGAGGAUGCAAGCGUCAUCCGGAAUGAUUGGGCGUAAAGCGGGCGCAGACGGUUACUUAAGCAGGAUGUGAAAUCCCCGGGCUCAACCUGGGAAUUGCGUUCUGAACUGGGUGGCUAGAGUGUGUCAGAGGGGGGUAGAAUUCCACGCGUAGCGGUGAAAUGCGUAGAGAUGUGGAGGAAUACCGAAGGCGAAGGCAGCCCCUUGGGAAUGUACUGACGCUCAUGUGCGAAAGCGUGGGGAGCAAACAGGAUUAGAUACCCGAGUAGUCCCUGUCUCUUAUAC
rnacentral:rRNA from 1 species